AUCCAGCUGACGAGUCCCAAAUAGGACGAAACGCUGGUGCUGGAU
rnacentral:hammerhead_ribozyme from 1 species